rnacentral:rRNA from 1 species
UACGGGGGGGGCAAGCGUUGUUCGGAAUUACUGGGCGUAAAGGGCGCGUAGGCGGCCUUCUAAGUCGAACGUGAAAUCCCCGGGCUCAACCCGGGAACUGCGUCCGAUACUGGAAGGCUUGAAUCCGGGAGAGGGAUGCGGAAUUCCAGGUGUAGCGGUGAAAUGCGUAGAUAUCUGGAGGAACACCGGUGGCGAAGGCGGCAUCCUGGACCGGCAUUGACGCUGAGGCGCGAAAGCCAGGGGAGCGAACGGG